rnacentral:rRNA from 1 species
CCUACGGGUGGCAGCAGUGGGGAAUAUUGGACAAUGGGGGCAACCCUGAUCCAGCCAUGCCGCGUGUGUGAAGAAGGCCCUCGGGUUGUAAAGCACUUUCAGUGAGGAAGAACGCCUGGUGGUUAAUACCCAUCAGGAAAGACAUCACUCACAGAAGAAGCACCGGCUAACUCCGUGCCAGCAGCCGCGGUAAUACGGAGGGUGCGAGCGUUAAUCGGAAUUACUGGGCGUAAAGCGCGCGUAGGUGGCUUGAUAAGCCGGUUGUGAAAGCCCCGGGCUCAACCUGGGAACGGCAUCCGGAACUGUCAAGCUAGAGUGCAGGAGAGGAAGGUAGAAUUCCCGGUGUAGCGGUGAAAUGCGUAGAGAGCGGGAGGAAUACCAGUGGCGAAGGCGGCCUUCUGGACUGACACUGACACUGAGGUGCGAAAGCGUGGGUAGCAAACAGGAUUAGAUACCAGGGUAGUC